GAUGAACGCUGGCGGCGUGCCUAAUACAUGCAAGUCGAGCGAACAGACGAGGAGCUUGCUCCUCUGACGUUAGCGGCGGACGGGUGAGUAACACGUGGAUAACCUACCUAUAAGACUGGGAUAACUUCGGGAAACCGGAGCUAAUACCGGAUAAUAUAUUGAACCGCAUGGUUCAAUAGUGAAAGACGGUUUUGCUGUCACUUAUAGAUGGAUCCGCGCCGCAUUAGCUAGUUGGUAAGGUAACGGCUUACCAAGGCAACGAUGCGUAGCCGACCUGAGAGGGUGAUCGGCCACACUGGAACUGAGACACGGUCCAGACUCCUACGGGAGGCAGCAGUAGGGAAUCUUCCGCAAUGGGCGAAAGCUUGACGGAGCAACGCCGCGUGAGUGAUGAAGGUCUUCGGAUCGUAAAACUCUGUUAUUAGGGAAGAACAAAUGUGUAACUAACUAUGCACGUCUUGACGGUACCUAAUCAGAAAGCCACGGCUAACUACGUG
rnacentral:rRNA from 1 species